UGGCUUUGGACAAAAAAUCAGCAGUAGCUCUAUCUCUGAAUCAGAGGACAUGGCAGUCAACAGAUCUUCAACUAAGACAGUGACAAAAUCAGUGCCUCUCAAACAAGAACCUCCAAAGCCUGAAAAGCCAAGAGUACCCAUCCGAACCAGGAAAGUGACAAGACUGGUAGAAGACAUAGUGGAUGGAAAGGUGGUCAGCGUCCAUAAAGAGCAGUAUGAAGAACCAAUGCCCUAGAUGGACCUCAUGACACCCAGUUGUAAUGAUAGGUAGCAGGAGUGAGAAAGAUAAACAGUUUGCUCAUGUACUUCUCCCUAAAUUUUGUUUGAAUGGAACCAAGAAGUGCUGCUUUAUCAAAUAAACUAUCCUCAGAUU